UACGUAGGGUGCGAGCGUUAAUCGGAAUUACUGGGCGUAAAGCGUGCGCAGGCGGUUGCAUAAGACAGAUGUGAAAUCCCCGGGCUCAACCUGGGAACUGCGUUUGUGACUGUGUGACUGGAGUACGGUAGAGGGGGGUGGAAUUCCUGGUGUAGCAGUGAAAUGCGUAGAUAUCAGGAGGAACAUCGAUGGCGAAGGCAGCCCCCUGGACCUGUACUGACGCUCAUGCACGAAAGCGUGGGGAGCAAACAGG
rnacentral:rRNA from 1 species